GCCCCGGUAGCUCAAUGGUGGAGCACACGGCUGUUAACCGUGAGGUUGUGGGUUCGAGUCCCACCUGGGGCG
rnacentral:tRNA from 1 species